rnacentral:rRNA from 1 species
UAUUACUGAAAUGGAAAAAUAAAAAAAAAUGAAGAAAGAAAUAUAAUGUACCUUUGGUAUUAGGGAAUUUUAUAUAUAUAUAUAUAUAUAUAUAUUUAUCGAAUUUAUAGGAUUUAAUAUAUUUAAAGUUUUUGUAGAAUAAAAAUUUUUAAAAAUAUAUUUGUUAUGAAAUGUAAUACGACUAUAGUAUAUCUAUUUUUUUAGGAAAUUAAUUUAUUUAAUUAAUAUUAUUUAUUAAUAAUAUAUAAAGGAUAAUCUUUAUAUUUAUAUUAUAUUUAUUUUUAUAUAUUUUUUUAUAGGCUUUUAGGUUGUCAUUAAUUGUGUUAUAACAAAAUAAUUUAUUAAUUUAUUUAUGAAGAAUUUAUUUUACUAAAAUAAUAAAGUUAAUUUUUUUUAUUUAAAAUGAUGAAAUUAUUAGUAUAAUAUUAUAAUAAAUUUAUUUAAUAAAUUAUUUAUUUAAUAAUAAUUAGGCAAAAUAAUUUUUCGCCUGUUUAUCAAAAACAUGGUUUUUUAUAAAUAAAAAAUCUUUACCUGCUCAAUGAAAAUUAAAUAGCUGCAGUAAUUUAACUGUACAAAGGUAGCAUAAUCAUUAGUUUUUUAAUUAAGGACUGGAAUGAAGGGUUGGACGAAAAAAUAUCUUUUUUAUAGAUAAAUUUAGAAUUUUAUUUUUUAGUGAGUAAGCUAAAAUAUGUUUGAGGGACGAUAAGACCCUAUAGAGCUUAAGAUAUAAAAUAUUAAGAAUUGUUAUGUAAAAUUUUUAUUAUUAUUAUCUUUUACUGGGGCGGUAAAGUUAUAUCAAAUUUUUGAUAAGUUUAAGAUCGAUUAAUUUAUAAUAAGAAAAAGUUACCUUAGGGAUAACAGUAUAAUUAUUUUUGAGAGUACAAAUUGACAAAAUAGUUUAUAACCUCGAUGUUGAAUUAAAAUUUAUAUUUAGUGAAGAAGCUAAAAGUUUAGGUCUGUUCGACCUUUAAAAUUUUACAUGAUGUGAGUUCAGACCGGUGUGGAGUCCAGGUGCAGUUUCUAUCUUCAAGUAAUAUAAUUUUUAUUUUAGUACGAAAGGAUCCAAAGUAUAAAGUAAUUAUUAAUAAUUUUUCUU